rnacentral:piRNA from 1 species
AUGAAAACAGAAAUGGACUCACUAACCUUGG